rnacentral:rRNA from 1 species
GUCCUACGGGGCGCAGCAGUGAGGGAUAUUGGUCAAUGGGGGAAACCCUGAACCAGCAACGCCGCGUGAGGGAAGACGGUUUUCGGAUUGUAAACCUCUGUCCUCUGUGAAGAUAAUGACGGUAGCAGAGGAGGAAGCUCCGGCUAACUACGUGCCAGCAGCCGCGGUAAUACGUAGGGAGCAAGCGUUGUCCGGAUUUACUGGGCGUAAAGGGUGCGUAGGCGGACUUGCAAGUCAGAAGUGAAAUCUAUGGGCUUAACCCAUAAACUGCUUUUGAAACUGUAAGUCUUGAGUGAAGUAGAGGG